UCAAGCUACAAAGAGCGUAAGGGGAAUGCCUUGGCACCAGGAGCCGACGAAGGACGCAGCGAUCUGCGAAAAGCCACGGGGAGCCGAAAGCAGGCUUUGAUCCGUGGAUAUCCGAAUGGGGAAACCCGCAUGGUUAAUAGCCAUGCGACGUAUACUGAAUAAAUAGGUAUGCGUCGGGAACCGUCUGAACUGAAACAUCUAAGUAGGACGAGGAAAAGAAAUCAACCGAGAUUCCGUAAGUAGUGGCGAGCGAACACGGAAGAGGCCAAACCGAAGGUAGCAAUAUCUUCGGGGUACGGACAGUAAACGGCAUUGCGGUAUCUUAGCAGAAGUGCAUGGGACGGCACACCAUAGAGAGUGAUAGUCUCGUAAGCGAAAAGAGAAGGCAGCCAACUGUAUCCAGAGUACCGCCGGACACGUGAAACCCGGUGGGAACAUGGGGGGACCAUCCUCCAAGCCUAAAUACUCCCUGGUGACCGAUAGAGAACAGUACUGUGAAGGAAAGGUGAAAAGAACCCCGGGAGGGGAGUGAAAAGAACCUGAAACCUUAUGCUUACAAGCACCGAGAGCCCAUCAAAGGGUGAUCGGGUACCUUUUGUAGAAUGGUCCGGCGAGUGAAUGUAACUGGCAAGGUUAAGCACUUCAGGUGUGGAGCCGAAGCGAAAGCAAGUCUUAAUAGGGCGUCAAGUCAGUUGUAUUCGACCCGAAACCGUGUGACCUAGCCAUGAGCAGGCUGAAGUGGAGGUAAAACUCCAUGGAGGGCCGAACCCACUCCCGUUGAAAUGGUAGGGGAUGACUUGUGGCUAGCGGAGAAAUUCCAAUCGAACUCGGAGAUAGCUGGUUCUCUCCGAAAUAGCUUUAGGGCUAGCCUCGAUUUGACAUUACCGGAGGUAAAGCACUGAAUGGGCUAGGGGCCGAGAGGUUACUGAACCCUAUCAAACUAAGAAUGCCGGAUAAUGAUAAUCGGGAGUCAGACAGUGUGAGAUAAGUUUCAUUGUCAAAAGGGAAACAGCCCAGACCCACAGCUAAGGUCCCAAAGUACAGUUAAGUGGUGAAGGAUGUGGAAUUGCAUAGACAACCAGGAUGUUGGCUUAGAAGCAGCCACUCAUUAAAAGAGUGCGUAAUAGCUCACUGGUCGAGUGAUUCUGCGCCGAAAAUUUAACGGGGCUAAAUUGUACACCGAAGCUUGGGAUACAUCUAAUGUAUGGUAGGAGAGCGUUGUAUACGGGGUGAAGUCAGAGCGGAAGCGCUGGUGGACUGUAUACAAGUGAGAAUGCCGGAAUGAGUAGCGAGAAUUAUGUGAGAAUCAUAAUGGCCGAAAGACUAAGGUUUUAGAAGGAAGGUUCGUCCGCUUCUAGUCAGCCGGGAGCUAAGGCGAGGCCGAAAGGCGUAGUCGAUGCACAUACGGUGGAGAUUCCGUAGCCGCCAUUAAUUUAAACAGAGGGACACUUUCAAGGGGCAUGACCCGGGCGUUGGUAGACCCGGGCGUAAGGGACCGAAGAUUAGUAGGGAAGCAUGCUUUAAGGAAGGCGAGAAAAGCUCUGUGUAUAGAAGAUGGCGCCCGUACCGCAAACCGACACAGGUAGUCAGGAAGAGAAUUCUAAGGCCAACGGGAGAAGGGUAGUUAAGGAACUCGGCAAAUUGACCCCGUAACUUCGGAAUAAGGGGUGCUCACGAGAGUGAGCCGCAGUGAAUAGGUCCAGGCGACUGUUUAUCAAAAACACAGCUCUCUGCUAAAUCGAAAGAUGACGUAUAGGGGGUGACACCUGCCCGGUGCUGGAAGGUUAAGAGGAAGGGUGCAAGCUCUGAAUUGAAGCCCCAGUAAACGGCGGCCGUAACUAUAACGGUCCUAAGGUAGCGAAAUUCCUUGUCGGGUAAGUUCCGACCCGCACGAA
rnacentral:rRNA from 1 species